rnacentral:tRNA from 1 species
GCCUGGGUGGCUCAGUGGUUGAGUGUCUGCUUUUAGCUCAGGACAUGAUCCCAGGGUCCUGGGAUCAAGUUCCACCUCAGGCU